UACGUAGGGUGCGAGCGUUGUCCGGAAUUAUUGGGCGUAAAGAGCUUGUAGGCGGCCAGACAGGUCCGUUGUGAAAACUCGAGGCUCAACCUCGAGACGUCGACGGAAACCGUCUGGCUAGAGUCCGGAAGAGGAGUGUGGAAUUCCUGGUGUAGCGGUGAAAUGCGCAGAUAUCAGGAAGAACACCUAUGGCGAAGGCAGCACUCUGGGACGGUACUGACGCUGAGACGCGAAAGCGUGGGGAGCGAACAGG
rnacentral:rRNA from 1 species